UGUUAGUGGUGUGGGCAAUUCAUGAGAAGAGACUUGAACCUCUCCCAUGCAUGAUAAGAUUUUUAUUUAAGCUUCUGCUUGAAAUUUAAGAUUUCACUUCUCAACCU
rfam:Capsicum annuum cultivar Zunla-1 chromosome 2, whole genome shotgun sequence